CUGCUACUCCCUCCGAUCCAUACUAAUUGUCAAAAUAUUACAUGUAUCUAGACGCUUUUUAGGCAUAGAUACAUCAAUAUUUGGGCAAAUUUGAGACAAUUAAUAUGGAUCGGAGAGAGUAGUAU
rfam:Brachypodium distachyon strain Bd21 chromosome 1, whole genome shotgun sequence.